AGAGUUUGAUCAUGGCUCAGAACGAACGCUGGCGGCAUGCCUAACACAUGCAAGUCGAACGCUUUUGGGGUUUCGGCCUCAAGGGAGUGGCGCACGGGUGAGUAGCGCGUGGGAACCUGCCCUGUUGUGGGGGAUAACCGAGGGAAACUUCGGCUAAUACCGCAUGCGCCCGGGGAAACCCGGGGAAAGAUUUAUCGCAGCAGGAGGGGCCCGCGUCGGAUUAGCUAGUUGGUGGGGUAACGGCCUACCAAGGCAUCGAUCCGUAGCUGGUCUGAGAGGAUGAUCAGCCACACUGGGACUGAGACACGGCCCAGACUCCUACGGGAGGCAGCAGUGGGGAAUAUUGGACAAUGGGCGCAAGCCUGAUCCAGCAAUGCCGCGUGAGUGAUGAAGGCCUUAGGGUUGUAAAGCUCUUUCGGCGGGGAAGAUAAUGACGGUACCCGCAGAAGAAGCCCCGGCUAACUUCGUGCCAGCAGCCGCGGUAAUACGAAGGGGGCGAGCGUUGUUCGGAUUUACUGGGCGUAAAGGGCGCGUAGGCGGCGGACCAAGUCGAGUGUGAAAGCCCCGGGCUCAACCUGGGAGGUGCGCUCGAGACUGGCCCGCUGGAGUUCGGGAGAGGAGCGUGGAAUUCCCAGUGUAGAGGUGAAAUUCGUAGAUAUUGGGAAGAACACCGGUGGCGAAGGCGGCGCUCUGGACCGAGACUGACGCUGAGGCGCGAAGGCGUGGGGAGCAAACAGGAUUAGAUACCCUAGUAGUCC
rnacentral:rRNA from 1 species